rnacentral:rRNA from 1 species
GGGUGCGAUCAUAUCAGCACUAAUGCACCGGAUCCCAUCAUAACACCGCAGUUAAGCGUGCUUGGGUGAGAGUAGUACUAGGAUGGGUGACCUCUCGGGAAGUCCUCGUGUUGCACCCC